UUCAUUUUUUUGGUAGUAUCAGCAUUAAGAAAUGGAGAAAAGUUUUAUUCAACUACCUAUACAAGAGCAAACAAAGGAAAUGUUUAAUAUUAUACCAUUAAACUUGUAUGGCUUGUCCCAGAAUGUGUUCUUAUUUUAUUCUUCAUUUGAAUCUGUGUUAUCUGUUCUUUCAUUUCUUCUGAAGACACUUAAACCAAUGUGAUUAUUUUAAUCAUGACUACAAACACAAUAAAAAACAAAUCCCAAUUCAUUUCAGAGUUAAUUAUCUACCCAAGAAAGUUAAGCUCUUCCUUAAACUGCAGUUGUCUGACAGAAAUACCUAGCCAUUGUCUCUGUUUCCAGCUCCUCUUGCAUUUAUGUAGGUACAAGAUACUGGGUCUCACCAAUAGCACAUCAAGAAGAAUAAUUCUGCAUUACCAUUUUGAUAGUUUGAAGCUAAUGAGCACAAGCAGGGGUUCUACCAUUUUGGAAGUCAGGUAUUGUGUGGCUGGACUAUGAGAUGAACCAAAAACUAGCAGAGAAAAAUUAAUCAGAAAUAUACAUCUUGGAUUUUACAUGAGGAAGUAGUAAACUUUUGUUGCGUUUGAAUAUUAUAAUUUUUAACAUAAUUGUUAUUGUUAGCUCAUAAAGUUGGAAUGUGCUUCAGCUGAAAUAUGGUUUUUAACAUUCUGUUGCUCAUUCAGUUGUCAAAUAUUUAUAGAGAAGGUACCCCACCCUCUUCACACACAUGUGUGAAUAUAUAAUAUUUACAGAAACUUACUAUGCCAGUCACUGAGGAUAUGAGGAAAAAGAAGGGUCUCAAUGACAGAGUACUGCCCCAUUUCCAAAAUUCCUCCUUAUGGUGAAUUUCUGUUUUUCUAGAUUUUCAUUAAAUUUUUAUCUAUCAAUGGAGAAUGUUUUUCAAGAUGUUGCUUUCUAAUUCUCUGUAAUCAAUGCUUUUGCUCAAUUAUCACUGCUAUGAAUGACUUCCAAGUCCAUUUCUCUGGUUGUGACCUUUUAACUAUGUUCUAAGUUUUUAUUUUAAUUAUUUACAGGACAUCUUCAGUCGACUGUCUGUCAUCAUCUCAAGUUCAACCUGGAGGAAAUAAAGAGUUAUGAGUAAUAGCAUAACAAACAGAAGUUUAAUUUGUGAUUAAAGCUAAAUUUUCCACGGCAAGACAACUAUUGAUGGAACAACCACAAAAAUGAUGCCAAGACUUUUCCUGAAAUUAGGGAUGACUUUUCUGCUGUUUCACUAGCACCUUUGAUGGAAUGGAAUCAGCUGUCUAUGGACUGAUAUCUCUGAAACUG